rnacentral:rRNA from 1 species
GUGGGGAAUCUUGCGCAAUGGGCGAAAGCCUGACGCAGCCAUGCCGCGUGAAUGAUGAAGGUCUUAGGAUUGUAAAAUUCUUUCACCGGGGACGAUAAUGACGGUACCCGGAGAAGAAGCCCCGGCUAACUUCGUGCCAGCAGCCGCGGUAAUACGAAGGGGGCUAGCGUUGCUCGGAAUUACUGGGCGUAAAGGGCGCGUAGGCGGACAGUUUAGUCAGAGGUGAAAGCCCAGGGCUCAACCUUGGAAUUGCCUUUGAUACUGGCUGGCUUGAGUACGGGAGAGGUGAGUGGAACUCCGAGUGUAGAGGUGAAAUUCGUAGAUAUUCGGAAGAACACCAGUGGCGAAGGCGACUCACUGGCCCGUUACUGACGCUGAGGCGCGAAAGCGUGGGGAGCAAACAGGAUUAGAUACCCCUGUAGUCC